CACGCUUCCGGUGCUGCUGUUGUCAUUUCUUAGGGUCCUGGUGGUGCUGGGGGCCGGUGAGCCGUCACGCCUGCAGGUCGUGCCGGGAAGGGAGGUGCGGCCAGCACUCGGGCGCGACGCCGGCCGGUGCUGGGGUGCGUGUCCGAGGCGGAGUCGCUUCGUCCUCGUUCCGCGAGGUCGGCUCGGGUUGGAGCCUGUGCGUCAGUGCUGCACCGGGCAGACCCUCCAGGUGACACUUCUGCACUUCCUUUCUUGACUCUGAAAAACAGCUCCUGCAAUUUGAAUCAGAGACUCAUUUUCAGUGUGCCUGCUGUAGCUGGAACUAGCUUCUUUUGGGGAUCACAAUGACCAUGGAAGGCAGGGGAACAUUAGGUCUUAUCCCCAGGACAGCUGAGUAUCAGAAGCAGGAGGGGAGCUUGACUGUGAAGCAGGAACCAGGAAGCCAGACCUGGAGACAGAGCUGCAGCUUCCAGAAGAACUACCCUCCUGUCUGUGAAAUCUUCCGGCUACACUUCAGGCAGUUAUGUUACCACGAGAUGUCUGGGCCUCAGGAGGCACUGAGCCGGCUCAGGGAGCUCUGCCACUGGUGGCUGAUGCCAGAGGUCCACAGCAAGGAACAGAUCCUAGAGCUGCUGGUGCUGGAGCAGUUCCUAAGCAUCCUGCCCAGGGAGAUCCAGAUGUGGGUACAGCUCCGUCACCCUGAAACUGGCGAGGAGGCUGUGGCUGUGGUGGAGGAUUUCCAGAGAAACCUUAGUGGGUCAGGGGAGGUUUUACCUCCAGUACAAGAACAGGAUAUGCAUUUAAAGAAGAUGAUAUCUCUGAAUGCAAUAGAACAAUCGCCUACCUCAACCUCCUGUCAGGGCUCAGCCCCUGAAUUCCACUUGGAUCCUCCUUAUGACCCUCAUGGACACUUUGGUCCUGCUUUUCUUGAAGUGGGCAACGCCAGGGGCCAGGCUACUGUGGGGAACUCUAGAGCGACUACUGUGCUUAGGAUGGUCAGGCCUCAGGAGAUUACAGCAAAUAAGGACUGUGUGCAAAAACCAUGGAAAAGCCUGGCACUCAAUCAGAAUGCCUUGUACCAGAACAUGACAGAGAAAAAUGAGCAUGGCAUGGCUUCACCGGCAACACAUAAGAACAGGAUGGAAAGUUCUACAUACACUCCAAAGCAUGACAUUUCUAAAGGGUCAGGUUCAUUUGACACAUCCUCAGGGGGACUCUCUGGAGUAGCCUUGGCAGAGCCAGAGUCUGGAGGUGGCUGUGGAGACCCUUUAGCACGGGUGGGAGGAGGGCGUGAGCUGGAAAAGAAAGAUAAGAGCAACUCCACAAAAGACAGAAGUGAGGAAUGCAACGAUGUAGAGGAACAUCCAGAUCUUUCCUCUAGUUCUGUUGAGCAUCAGCAAGAAGCAAAGAGUCAAAAGUUCUAUAAAUGUGAUGAAUGUGACAAAGUUUUCAACCAGAGCGCACUCCUUGGACACCAGAGAAUCCACCCUCGAGAGAAACCCUAUGAAUGUAAUGAGUGUGGGAAGACCUUCCGACAGACACCUCAGCUAAUUGUUCAGCUCAGAACACACACAGAGGAUAAACCUUUUGAAUGUAGUGAGUGUGGGAAGACUUAUCAUCACAGUUCCAGUCUUAUUCAACACCAGAGACUUCAUGAUGGGGAGAAACCUUAUAAAUGUAAUGAAUGUGCAAAAGCUUCCACUCAGAAUUCCCAGCUCACUGACCACAAGAGAACCCAAACUGGGGUGAAACCUUGUGAGUGCAAUAAGUGUGGGGAGGCCUUCAUUCGGAGUAAAAGUCUUGUCCGACAUCAGGUCCUUCACACUGGUAAGGAGCCCUAUGAGUGUAAUAAUGAGUGUGGGAAAACAUUUUGUUCCGACAGAAAUCUUAUUGACCACCAGAGAAUCCACACUGGGGAGAAGCCUUAUGAGUGUAUUGAGUGUGGCAAGGCCUUUAGUCACAAUAAAUGUCUUAUUCGACACCAGAGUCUCCACACGGGGGAAAAACCAUACAAAUGCAGUGAAUGUGGGAAAGCCUUCAAUCAGAACUCUCAGCUCAUUGACCAUGAACGAAUUCAUACUGGAGAGAAGCCUUUUGAAUGUAGUGAGUGUGGCAAGAAAUUCAGUUUAAGUAAAUGCCUUAUUCGGCACCAGAGACUUCACACUGGAGAAAAGCCCUAUAAAUGCAUCGAGUGUGGAAAAUCCUUCAAUCAAAACUCUCACCUCAUUAUACAUCAGAGAAUCCAUACUGGUGAGAAACCUUAUGAAUGUAAUGAGUGUGGGAAGGUCUUCAGUUACAGUUCUAGCCUUAUGGUUCAUCAAAGAACCCAUACUGGUGAAAAGCCCUAUAAAUGUAAAGACUGUGGGAAAGCCUUCAGUGACAGUUCACAGCUUAUUGUGCACCAGAGAGUUCACACUGGUGAGAAGCCUUAUGAAUGUAUUGAAUGUGGGAAAGCCUUUAGUCAGCGUUCCACUUUUAAUCACCAUCAGCGAACUCACAAUGUGGAGAAGCCCUCAAGUCUGCUUCAGACAAUACCUUAAGGCAUGGUUCCCUGAGAUAGAGAACAAAGAAUUCUGAGUUAGUAUUGUUUAUAAAAAAAAUUUUUUUUAGAUUUAUUUAUUAUGUAUAGUGUUCUGUCUGCACGUAUCCCUGCAGGCCAGAAGAGGGCGCCAGAUCUCAUUACAGAUGGUUGUGAGCCACCAUGUGGGUGCUGGGAAUUGAACUCAGGACCUCUGGAAGAACAGCCAGUGCUCUUAACCUCUGAGCCAUCUCUCCAGCCUUCACAUUUGUUUUUUAAAGUUAGUCCAAUAUAUAACUUCUUAUCAUUUAAGUUCCCUCCCUAGAAAUGUUUUCCUUUUACUUGUUAAUUUAUGUGUAUUUGUGUAUGAUUGUACAUGUGAGUGCAGUGCUUUUAGAGGCCAGCAGAGGGCACUGAUCCCCUUAGAACUGGUGAUCGUGGGGUAACUGACAUGGGUGCUGGGAAUUGAAUUUGGGUCUUCUGCAAGAAUAGUAUAUAUUCCUAACCUCUGAGCCAUCUCUCCAGCCCCAGGACUUCCCCCCCCCCCCCCCAAUGCUUUCCCUCUUAAACCUCUGUUGAUCUGAUCUCAAACAUGCUUUGAGUUAGUUGCUAUAUGGUACAACUGUUAAAUUCCCUUGUAAGUAUUUAUAUACUUUCAUACCAAUAUGUAGCCUCUUUGUGGGCAUAUAUUUUUUCAUAUAUAGAUAGUUAAUUAUAUUAAUUGCUAAGUAAAUAAUUUUUUAAUUAAUUUAUUUAUUUUUCUAUUAUCAGCUUAAUACACUAUAAAUUCUUAUCCUAAUAGUGAAAUGUUUCAUUGAGGCUUGCCCAGUAAUUGAGUAAAACCAAAACUUAUUAUAAGCCACAGUCAUCCUAGUGUGUGUCCGUCCGUCCCCCCCCCCCCCUCCCCCGCUAUAUAGCCUCCCUGGUCCUGUGGGUUGUUCUUUGCUUUAUAUCUAGAAUCCACUUAUGAGUGAGUAUAUACCAUGUUUGUCCUUCUGGGUUUGGGUUACCUCACUCAGAAUGAUAUUUUCUAGUUCCAUCCAUUUGCCUGCAAAUUUCAUGCUGUCAUUGUUUUUCUCUGCUGAGUAGUACUCCAUUGUGUAUAUGCACCACAUUUUCUUAAUCCAUUCUUCAGUUAACGGGCAUCUAGGUUGUUUCCAGGUUCUGGCUAUUACGAAUAGUGCUGCUGCUGCUGCUGCUAUGAACAUAGUUGAGCAUGUAUCUUUGUGGUAUGAUUGAGCAUUCCUUGGGUAUAUGCCCAAGAGUGGUAUGGCUGGGUCUUGAGGUAGAUUGAUUCCCAAUUUUCUGAGAAACCACCAUAUUGAUUUCCACAGUGGUUGUACAAGUUUGCGUUCCCACCAACAGUGGAGGAGUGUUCCUUUUGCUCCCCAUCCUCUCCAACAUUGACUGUCAUUAGUGUUUUUGAUCUUAGCCAUUCUGACAGGUGUAAGGUGGUAUCUCAGAGUCGUUUUGAUUUGCAUUUCUCUGAUGAUUAAGGAUGUUGAGCAUUUCUUUAAAUGUCUUUCAGUCAUUUGAGAUUCUUCUUUUGAGAAUUCUCUGUUUCACUCUUUAGCCCAUUUUUUAAUUGGAUUGUUCAGUAUGUAAAUAAUUUUUUUUUUAAAGAUUUGUUUAUUUAUUAUGUAUACAGCAUGUAUGUCUGCAGGCCAGAAGAGGGCACCAGAUCUCGUUACAGAUGGUUGUGAGCCACCAUGUGGGUGCUGGGAAUUGAACUCAGGACCUCUGGAAGAACAGUCAGUGCUCUUAAUCCCUGAGCCAUCUCUCCAGCCCGUAAAUAAUUUUUAAAAUCUCCCUCAAAUAAUCCUUAAAUUAUAGACAAACCCCCAUCUCCCCUCAGCUUUUAAGGUUGGGAGUGCAUCUCCAGUAUCACAUGCAAUAUACUCAUUACUAUAUCAUAACUACUAGUUUAUUGUCCUUAAAAAAAUAAUUGUGUGUGUGACAGAGAGUGAGAAACACAGCAAAUUUUUGUUAUCUAUUCAGUUGUGCAGUCAUGUCCACUUAAAUGUGCAUUGUGCAGUACAAGGAUUUGCUAACUCCAUUCUGCCUCUUCAGUGAGCAGGUUGAGAUAGAUCACAGUCAGAAAACUACAAAGGUUUGUUGAUGUCCAUGGCUGCACCGGGGUCACUGACAUACACUACCAUGAAUUUCUGUGUGUAUGCUGGAGAUUUGAACUCAGAUCCUCAUGCAUGUGUGGCAAGUACCUUGCCUAUUGAACCGUCUCUCCAGGCCCGUUGUGCACACAUUUCGGGGAAAUAUUCUGAGGAAAAAGUGGGCAAGUUUUCUAUUCUAACAUAGAGUUAUGGGCCCCACAAGGAAUCCAUAAUGUAGAAAAAGGGUCUUCAUCUGGGUGUGGUGGUACAUGCCUGUAGGUCUAGCACUUGGGAAUCUCUCAGAAAUAGAUCUUUGUAAGUUCAAGGUCAGUUUGGACUACAUAGCAAGUUCCAGGCCGUCUGUGUUGAAUCACUGUCUUCAAAGGGGAGGAGAGAGCAUGAAAAAAACAACUUCAUAGAACUUCUACUUUACUUAGGCAUUUUUUUUUUUUUGCAUCUCCAUUUCAUGUACAUGUGCUCAUGGAGGUUACAGGACAAUUUGUGGGAGUUGGUUCUCUCCACUAAGUAAAUCCCAUAGGUCAAAGUCAGAAGUCAGGUUGUCUGGCUUGGUAACAAAUGCUUUUACCUGCCAAGCCAUUUCAGUGAUCUUCAGUUUAAUUUUUAUAAACUGUCCCAUCCCCAUUGCCCCCACUCUCUGUCUCGUGUGUGUGUGUGUGUGUGUGUGUGUGUGUGUGUGUGUGUGUGUGUUAAAGUGUGUGUCACAGCAUGUGUAUAGAGAUCAAAGAACAGCUUUUUUGUGGAGUUGGUUUCUCCUUCCACCUUUAUGUGAGUUCCAGGGGUUGAACUCAGGUCACCAAGCUUGCUCAGAAAGUGUGUUUACCCACUGGGCCAUCUUGUUGGCCCCUGUAUUAGUUACUUUUCUGUUGCUGUGGUGGUGCACGCCCUUAAUCCCAGCACUUGUGAGGCUAAGGCAGGUGGAUCUCUCUGAGUUAGAGGCCAGCCUGUUCUACAGAGAGCUAGUUCUAUGACAGCCAGAGCUACACAGGGAAACUAUGUCUUGAAAAACAAACAAAAAAAAAGGAAAAGAAAAGAAUUAGGCAUUGUGGCUCUAGCAAAAAGCUGGAUGAUUACGUAUAAAACACAAAGCAGAAAGAACAUGAAAUGGGGUGAGGCUAUAAAUCUCAGUCUCCAGCAAAGCUCUGCCUCUUAAAGGUUCUACAGCCUUCCCAAGCAGCACCACCAGCUGGGGACAAAGUGUUCUCAGCUACCACAUCCACCACCCAAUUUACCUAUUCCCUCUCCCCUUGGUUGUUCGAGACAGAGUUUAUUAGCUUUGGCUGUCCUGGAACUCACUUUGUAGACAAGGCUGGCCUCAAACUCACAGAGAUUCUCCUGCCUCUGCUUUUCCCAGUUUACUUGAAAUCAGAAUUCAAACAUGGGAUAUAGUUCUGGUGGUCAAACAUGAUGGUAAAGGGUAGGAGGUAUACACUGAACCAUUUGCCUGUGGUACAUGGAGACAACAUACACAGCUAUAUUCUGCAACAUAUUAAAGAAAGUCAUGUAGUUAUAAUUUACUUUUAUAUGUAUGGAUGUUUUGCCUGCAUGUAUGUCUGUGCACCACAUGUGUGCUUGGUGCCUGAAGAGGCCAGAAAAGGACACCAGAUCUCCAAGAACAAGAGUAAUAGAUGGCUAUGGGCCACCAUGCUUGGGAUUGAACCCGAGUCUUCUUAAAGAGCAACCAGUGCUGUUAACUGCUAAGCCAUCUCUCUAGUUUCACAUAUCAUCAUCAACAUCAGCAGCAGCACCAGAAUUAUUUUAUUAUUUUGUUUUUGUUGGUUUAUUUUGAGGGUGUUUGUUUUGUUUUGGGUUUGUUGUUGUUGUUUUGUUUUAAUGCUGGGUCUCACUUUUAGCUCUGGCUAUCCUGGAACUCACAAUAUAGACCAGGUUGACCUUGAACUCACAGAGAUCCAUCUGCUCCUCCCCCCCACCUCCCAAAUGUUGGAAUUAAAGGUGUUUGACAACAGCCUGACAGAAAUCAUGAGAUAAAUUCUGACCUAUGAGGGGCUAAAGAAGUGCCUCAGUGGUGAGGGGCUUGAACUGCCACAGUAAAGGCCCAAGUUCAGUUCCUAGAACCCACAACAGGUUUCUCACAAGCCAACUACCUGUCACUCCAGCUCCAGGAGACCCAGUGCCUUCUUCUGGUCUCCUGAACUCACAUUUACUCAACUGCACACAGACAUACAUAACACAUAAUUAAAAAUAAAAUAAUAUUCUGACCUACUUUGGGAGAUGGCUUUUUCCAAGCUGGUUGUGGUGGAUGCAUGCAUUUAAUCCUAGCACUUGGGAGGCAGAGGCAGUCAGAUUUCUGUGAGUUCGAGGCCAGCCUACAUAGUGAGUUGCAGGACAGCUAGGAUUAUGUAGAGACCCUGUCUCAAAACCAACCCUCCCCCAAAAAAAAUAUCAGUAUCAGAAAGCAUGUGUUCAUGAAAAGUUCUAAUGAUUAGGAGUAAAUUUUAGAUUUAUUGUUAAUACCCAUACAGUGGCUCUAUUAAACAAAACAUACCAUAUACCUACCUCUUAUAUCAUGCUCUGUCCUGAUAGAGCCCUAUAGAAGCAUUUACUCCAUGUGGUAAAGGGUGUUGUUAUAAUGCCCAAUGACUCGGAAGCACCUCAUUGUUUAAGUACUCAAUUCACGAAGGAGCAUGGUAGAUUUAUUCUUCAUUGGAUCAAACCAAUCCCCCACUAAUAGAUGCAUAGUGCUACUUUACAGGAUGCCCAGCAGAGUGAGGGGCAGAUUAUCUUUUAAGGCAUACAAAUGUUUUGCUCCAAAACACAGUAGAAGACAAAUAUAUAAUGGUCCAUUCCUUUUUCUCAGUGGUGGGUAUUCCUAAAAUGAUGCCUGAUUACGAUUGCCAAUUCACUAAAACUACAAUGUUUCUCUCCUUGGUAACCAAUUCCAUAGACUUAAAAAGGUUUUAGGAAUGAGUGAGUGUAUAGCUGGCAUCACAUGAUGAUAGUAGCCAAUAAAGUUCUUUCCCAAAAUAUUUCUAGUUGCCUUGCCUUCUGUAUAGAUAUUGCAUAAGUGAGAUGUUCAGUUUCCUAACAGGGUGCUAUAUGGAUGAUGGAUAGAGUUCCAAGGACCAGCAGUCACUCAAGGAUUGGGUAAAAAGGUCAGUAGACAGAGUAACACCAGGACAAAAUAUAUUUACCCUAGGCUAAAUAAAGUGUGGACCAUAGCUGAAUGGGAUGCAUUUGGACCAUGGGACACAUUUAUAUGUAUCCAGCCAUGAGACUGAAUGCAUUAUUGAUAUGGAUUAUGCUCAUUGUUAAUAAUAAAGCUGAUUGGCCAAUGACUGUGCAGGAAGAGAUUGAGCACAAGACUAGGGGAAUUCUGGGAAGAGGAAAGGCGGAGUCUGGCAGCCACCAGCCAGCCACCAAGGAAGCAAGAUGUAUUAGAACACAGGUAAAGUCAUGAGACACAUGGUAAAACAUAGAUAAGAAAUAUAGGUUAAUUUAAACGUAAGAGCUAGCUAGUAAUAAGCCUGAGCCAUUGGCCAAAAAUUUAUAAGUAAUAUUAAGCCUCCAAGUCAAUUAUUUGGGAAGUGGCUGCUGGGUAUUUGGGAGUUGCUGGCAAGACAAAAAUUUCUGCCUAUACAUUAUUCUAUUUCUAGUUUUAGAGAUUGGAAAAUGCUAUAUUCCUCCUUGAGGGUGUACAUUCUGCACCUCUAGAGCAGAGGAUGCCAGAACUAUUGCAGUGACUGCACAUCUGUUGCAGCCUUGGAAAGUCUAGAGCAUAUUCUGAUACCAGGAAGAAGUCACAGUGAAACUUUUCCAGUCAGCAUUAGGUUGCCUCAGCAAUGAACAAAAGCAAAGGCAAACCAAACCAAUGCUGCCCAGUUUUUAACCAGGCAGCCACACAAUGAGUGUCCUCAAGUUGUGUAGCCAUUUUCUCUGAAUUGAUGUAUUUCCACCUAGAGGAAGUAGGAAAGCUACUGAUACAAGGGAAGUUAAACUCAUAAGGCUCAGGAAGUAAACAAAACUUAAAGUAUUUCUGGAGAGGUAGAUAGCAGUUAUAAGCCUUUGCAGGGGAUCAAAAUUAGGUUCAUAGCACCAUGUUGAGAGAUUCACAACCACCUGUAACUCCAGAGAUCUGAUGCCCUCUUUGGGCCUCCAUGGGCACCAACAUGUGUGUGUGUGUGUGUGUGUGUGUGUGUGUGUGUGUGUGAGAGAGAGAGAGAGAGAGAGAGAGAGAGAGAGAGAGAGAGAGAUUUUUUAAUCUUACAGGGCUUAGGAAGAUCCUGAAACCUAGAAAAUUCAUAACACCCCUCCCCAAGUUUAUAAAAAUCCUAAGAAUAGGUGGGAGGAAGGAAUGGGAGGAGAGGAGGGAGGGGAAACUGCAGUCAUGAUGUGGCGGUGGUGGCGCACGCCUUUAAUCCCAGCACUCGGGAGGCAGAGCCAGGCGGAUCUCUGUGAGUUCGAGGCCAGCCUGGGCUACCAAGUGAGUUCCAGGAAAAGGCGCAAAGCUACACAGAGAAACCCUGUCUCGAAAAAACCAAAAAAAAAAAAAUUAAUGAUUAAAAGAAUUGCUGGAGAAAAGAGACUCUCUGACCAGUCAUGAUGCAAGUAGUGCAGAAACUCUAGGGAUCAAUAUUUGUGAACACACACCCAUGCUGAAAUGUGGGUUCCAGUGACGCCCUUGAGUGGCCCAAGUUCCUGUAAGGAGUCUUAUGUAUGUUUCUGUAAUUCUUUGGUCUGUUGGUGGUAUCCUAUAUGGAGGGAAGAGAAAUUGUUUACAUCUCCCCUGGAAAAUUACAUCACACAACUGGCACAAGAACAGGGAUCCAAAGGAAAAAAGAUGUAAGUUUUUAAUAGAUGAGCCUCUGCAAGACAUUCCAGAUUUGAGCAACAGUGACCAAUGUAUUCAUUAUUCAUUAGUAUUCAUUAUUAUUCACUAGUAAAUCACUCUGGUCAUUCCUUCAAAAUAUGUGUAGUCCCCAUUCUUACCAGCUACUACCCCUGUAGUUGCCGUCAUCAUUUACUAUUGCAUAAACUGUAAUACCUUCUUAAUAAAUCUGUGUUUGUCCUUGACCCUCUCUUAGCCUGUUCAGUACUAACUUUAAAAGUCAAAGAGCUGAGCAUUUACACAAGGUUAUUUUAGAAUACCCCCAGACAGAGCAGAGAAGUCACAGAAUUUAUAGGAACAGGUUUCUUGGCUCAUUUAAUAUCUCAUGGGCAACAGAUAUUGGACCAUGUGACAGAAAACAAAACAAACAACAAAAGAAAGCUCAUGUCUGUCUUUGGUCCCAGGUUCCUAACAGCUCGCUUCCUGCACUAUUUAGGGCAGGUCCUUACCACAGCCUCCUUACCUGUCCUACUAAUUCCUGACUCAAGACUUUUGCUCCUAAUGUUCCAUCAGGAACACAUUUCUCCCAGAUGUCUACAUGUUUUCAUCGCUUCCUAAAUGUGCUUCGUCUAUGCAAACAGCCUCCCCCAUCCUCCACUUUUGAGUCACUAGCUAGUAGCUACUGGGUAUUUCUUUUCGACUCCUUUUACUUGGACACAGCAUACAGGACAGGGGAUCUCAUUUUCUUUACUACUGUAUGUUCAGUUCUUAGAACAGCGACAGAGCAGUCACCUACCAAUACAUAUUUUUACAUGCUGCAAUAAAAAGUAGCUGAUCUUGGCUGUGAGGCUGGGGUUGUCUCUGGAAGAGGACUUUUAUUACUUUUGAGAGCCUCAGUAUUAGGCAGAGGCCUCGCUGACCAGGUAACUGGUUUCUGUUCCUGCUAACUGAGGCCUUGCCCAGGUUCCACAGGAUCGCUUGUCAUUGGUUGAACUCUCCAAGUCCGUCCUGUCAUCCAAUAAUAGUGAUGUCUGGAGGCCAGGGCACCUGCAGAUCAGCUCUGGGGCACAGAGAUGCCGAGACCUCCGGUUGCCUAGAAGGGCCUAAGGGACGGAGGGGCGGGUCGGCUGGACGAUUCAGCCCGGGGUACCGAGAUGCGGAGACCUCCCAGUGCCUAGAAGGGCCGCAGGCGCAAGGAAGGGGAACAAAUCACAGCUGCAGUUCGCCGGCUUUGUUCCGAGGACUGUGUGUGGUUCAGUGAGGGCUCCGCGGCAGCCAUCUGAACGCCGGGCUCCAGGAGCGAGGUGCAUGCUGCCUCCCUAGAUCCCGGGGGUGCCUGCCUUUGUCCAGCAUCUCCUCUUCAUGUUGGAAGAGUGACGGGACUCGCCAAGGCUAUCCGGGUUCAGGUCGCUCCAGGCUCUCCCAGGACUACCUAACCACGGAGUGUUUGGCUGCCUUUGCCAGUCCAAACCCAGCUGUGUCACCAGUGAGGACACUGGGGUCGGGAGAAGUGGGUGCCAACACUCAUGUCACAGCCUAGUGUGAGGAUCAGAGGACGUCUCUCCUUCCACUGUGGGAAGUGAUUCAACUAAGGUCAUAUUUAGUUCUACAGGCCAGGAAGUUAACAAAAGAUGGGACACUACCUCGAGUGAACACUUGGAGUUGAGGUCUCAGAGAACUCUUUCAUUGUAUCUGUGUACAGUGAUUCAGAGCCUGUCAUGAACUUCUGCACUUAACCCGAGGAGGCAAUCAGGCAGAAUUUCUGCUGGGCAGAUCCUUUGGAGUGAAGCUACUGUGCACGAUGGUGAGGGGCCGUAGAGCUUCAAGUGUGCAUGUGGGAGAAGAGGAGAAUGCACACACCAGCAGUUGUAUUGCAAGUUCUCUGCCUAUGAACACUUGCCCUUCUACAUGAGACCCUGUGAUCUACUACAUCUUGUCUUCGUUGAAUAAUUCUUACCCUGUUGCUGACAAACUGGGACCUGUACACUUUCUCUUUCUCCUGUCGGAUGGUGAAAUAAACUGAGGAGGUAUUGAU